rnacentral:rRNA from 1 species
CCUACGGGAGGCAGCAGUGGGGAAUUUUGGACAAUGGGCGCAAGCCUGAUCCAGCUAUGCCGCGUGUGGGAUGAAGGCCUUCGGGUUGUAAACCACUUUUGUAGAGGACGAAAAGUCUAUUGAUAAUACCGAUAGACAUUGACGGUACUCUAAGAGUAAGCACCGGCUAACUCCGUGCCAGCAGCCGCGGUAAUACGUAGGGUGCGAGCGUUAAUCGGAAUUACUGGGCGUAAAGGGUGUGUAGGCGGUUUUUCAAGUCAGAUGUGAAAUCCCCGGGCUCAACGUGUGAACGGCAUUUAAAACUGGAAAGCUGGAGUGUGUGAGAGGAUAGAGGAAUGCCAGGUGUAGCGGUGAAAUCCGUAGAUAUCUGGCGGA